GGCAGUUCUCGGGUGAUGCACCCUGGAAUGGGGCUCCCUCCUCUCUGGUUUCGGGUGCUUCACCCGAGAACCGCA
rfam:Myotis lucifugus cont2.12698, whole genome shotgun sequence.